AGUUUAGCGGGAGAUUUGUAUUACAAGUGGCGGCCAUUUUGUUUGUUUACGGAAACGUGAUGAAAGCUUAGACCUAGAACAAAAUCACGUUAUAUAUACAGUACGGUAUAUAUUGGCGACAUUUAAUUUCCCCACUCACGGAAUACAAUCGACAAACUGGGAACAGAAUAUCAAAUUUGUCUAGCUUUUGGCGACUUAUGAUACCCCUUUCACCGGCAAACACUGAAUUAUCGGACAACAUGAAAUCAGGGACUAAAUUCACCAGCAUUCAUGAUCCUCGGACCACCCGCCCCCUACGCACAGCCGAUUUAUAAAUGUUGCAUCUUUCAAUCAGUGUCAAUCCCAAGAAGAACCCUGAUCAGCUCCUGGAAAAUCAGUGUUCUUGCAGUAUUGUCAGUCAAAUCUCAAGGAAAGGAUCCCAGAAGAGGAACAUUUACAUUAUUUCAGACUUUUUUCUUUCCUGUGUAACAAUGCCUCAAACAGCUAACACAUUUUAUAUAGUAUACAAUACAAUGUGUAUUAAUAACAGUCCAGUUAGAGUGCUGUGCUAUGCAGUAAAAAUACUUAAUUCUUGAUGACAUGUUGGUUUUAUGUUUACAUUAAACGGUAGUUAUAAUAUAUACUAAAGAAACAUAGUGGAUAAUGCCUUGUACAGGAGCAGGAGUAUGACAGUGUAAUAGUACAUGACUGCUGCGUUCAUCCAUGGAAGGAGUCUGUUAUUCGAAAUAAAGCUUUCCAUGAGGACGAAAAA